rnacentral:rRNA from 1 species
UACGAAGGGGGCUAGCGUUGCUCGGAAUCACUGGGCGUAAAGGGUGCGUAGGCGGGUCUUUAAGUCAGGGGUGAAAUCCUGGAGCUCAACUCCAGAACUGCCUUUGAUACUGAGGAUCUUGAGUAUGGGAGAGGAGAGUGGAACUGCGAGUGUAGAGGUGAAAUUCGUAGAUAUUCGCAAGAACACCAGUGGCGAAGGCGGCUCACUGGCCCAUAACUGACGCUGAGGCACGAAAGCGUGGGGAGCAAACAGG